rnacentral:lncRNA from 1 species
CUGAAAGCCAAUUAAUAUGCCUGACCUUGAAAAGUCACGUCUAUCAACCGGCUUUUCCGAAGAUUUUCAACAUCUGAAAUUCACAGGAUCAUGGAGACGAACUAAACCAUCAUGGAGACUAACUAAACCAGAUGCAUCUAGCCCCUCAUGUUAGAGUUGAGAAAACAGAAACCCAGGGUUUGGGGACUCCCUUGAAGUCAUCAAGUUCCUGUUGAUGGCAAAAUCAGGACCAAGCUUCUGAUCCUCCCAAAUAUUCCUUCACUUCUCAGUGCUGCCUGUGAUGAGAAAGAUCAAAGCAUGCAUACAAUUAUAAAUCAUGACACAGAGGCAACAUGCAAUUAUUUAGGUACUAAUUAAUAGACUGUGUACCAAGUCAGCACUAAUGAAAUUUUUCAUGCCUUGACAGGGUAGUAGCUUGUCAGGAAUUUCUGAAGAUGAAAAAACUAUUCAUCUUAGGACAAAUCCUUCUCCUUCCAGUAAAUACAAGGAAAGGAGGAAGUGUAACCAGGGGUAUUUAAGCUCAGCCUCCUCCAGCAGCCAUCUGCUGCUGCUUUUUUUUUUUUUUUUAAAUGUUAUUGAGAUGUAAUUUACGUACCAUAAAAUUCACCAUGUUAAGGUGUGCAGUAGUAUAUUCACAAGGUUGUGUAACUAUCACUACCCUCUAAUUCCAGAACAUUCUCAUCAUCCUGUUGCUUUUUGAAUGUCAGUAUUGUCAGCUCGAGUACAGCUUCACUCACAUGUGGCUCUCAGUUGUAUUCUGUAGUGUUCAUCUUGACCCACAUGAUCAGAUGCCCCAAGUUCACUCUGUAUUUGAAGAGCUCCGUGUCUACUAAAGGUCUGAUUCCCUACUGCGGGCCAAUAGUAGGAAUGAGAUGGUCACUAAGCGUCAAAAUAAGCACUAGCAAUGAGAACCUGAAAAGCAAAACUCAGCCACCAAGGCUAAUUUUCAGGGCAAAAAGAGGAGAAAAUUUCCUAAGCCAAGAGUGGGUAGAACUGGAAGUGGGAAGUGGGGCUGGUUUAAGGACGGUGGAGGGUUCUCCAAAGUGCCACUCUGUCCUGCCUUAGAGCUCAUAUGCAUGCUGGAUCAUCCUCCACCCCUAUCACAUCCCCCAUUUUUGCUUCAUCUAAGCCCCCUGGGAUGCUGGAGCACCCACUGCAGGAGGCGCCCGAACUUCCCUUAUCACAGUCCAUCUCACCUGUGCACACCGUGAUUACCUGCUGACUUGUCUGCAUUCCUGAAUAGACCGGAAGCUUCAAAAAGGAAGAAACCCUGCCUUUUUGGUUACUUAUUCACCCUGCUUCUCAGCAUCCUCUGGCACUAUCUCAGUAAAGAUUUCUUGAACAAGUUAUUAAUCUGGCCACAAGCCCAAAUUUCUUUCUAUAUCCCUCUAAUGCUCAAAUUAAAGUUUGAGUGUGAGAAUGUACCCGAGCCUCACACAGUUAUUUAUGGUGGAUACACAAAAUAAUAAUAAUCCUGGGUCAAAGCUGCUUUCCUGUAGCUUUCACUAAAUAGUCUUCAUUCUGAUCCAAAGACCAAGAGAGAAUACAUCUUUUCCCUAUUCUCUGUGGUACCCCUUUAGGUAUGUGACAUGAGCUGUCAUGUCCUCUGUACCUUUUAUUCUCUGAGUUAACCAACUGUACUUCCUUCAAC